UACGGAGGGUGCAAGCGUUGUUCGGAUUUAUUGGGCGUAAAGCGCGUGUAGGCGGUUUCUUAAGUCUGAUGUGAAAGCCCCGGGCUCAACCCAGGAAGUGCAUUGGAUACUGGGAGACUUGAAUACGGGAGAGGGUAGUGGAAUUCCUAGUGUAGGAGUGAAAUCCGUAGAUAUUAGGAGGAACACCGGUGGCGAAGGCGGCUACCUGGACCGAUAUUGACGCUGAGACGCGAAAGCGUGGGGAGCAAACAGG
rnacentral:rRNA from 1 species